rnacentral:rRNA from 1 species
AGAGUUUGAUCAUGGCUCAGAACGUACGCUGGCGGCACGCCUAACACAUGCAAGUCGAACGAAGUAGCAAUACUUAGUGGCAGACGGGUGAGUAACAUGUAGGUAUCUACCCUUUGGCCUGGAAUAACACGAGGAAACUUGUGCUAAUACUGGAUAAGUCUUUACGGAGAAAGCUUUAUGCACCAUUGGAUGAGCCUGCACUUGAUUAGUUUGUUGGUGGGGUAAUGGCCUACCAAGACUGUGAUCAAUAGCUGAUUUGAGAGGAUGAUCAGCCACAUUGGGACUGAGACACGGCCCAAACUCCUACGGGAGGCAGCAGUGGGGAAUCUUGCACAAUGGAGGAAACUCUGAUGCAGCGAUGCCGCGUGAGUGAAGAAGGCCUUUGGGUUGUAAAGCUCUUUCGUCGGGGAAGAAAAUGACUGUACCCGAAUAAGAAGGUCCGGCUAACUUCGUGCCAGCAGCCGCGGUAAUACGAAGGGACCUAGCGUAGUUCGGAAUUACUGGGCUUAAAGAGUUCGUAGGUGGUUGAAAAAGUUGGUGGUGAAAUCCCAGAGCUUAACUCUGGAACUGCCAUCAAAACUUUUCAGCUAGAGUAUGAUAGAGGAAAGCAGAAUUUCUAGUGUAGAGGUGAAAUUCGUAGAUAUUAGAAAGAAUACCAAUUGCGAAGGCAGCUUUCUGGAUCAUUACUGACACUGAGGAACGAAAGCAUGGGUAGCGAAGAGGAUUAGAUACCCUCGUAGUCCAUGCCGUAAACGAUGUGUGUUAGACGUUGGAAAUUUAUUUUCAGUGUCGCAGCGAAAGCGAUAAACACACCGCCUGGGGAGUACGACCGCAAGGUUAAAACUCAAAUGAAUUGACGGGGACCCGCACAAGUAGUGGAGCAUGUGGUUUAAUUCGAAGAUACGCGCAGAACCUUACCAACACUUGACAUGUUCGUCGCGACUUUAAGAGAUUAAAGUUUUCGGUUCGGCCGGACGAAACACAGGUGCUGCAUGGCUGUCGUCAGCUCGUGUCGUGAGAUGUUGGGUUAAGUCCCGCAACGAGCGCAACCCUCACUUUUAGUUGCCAUCAUUUAGUUGGGCACUCUGAAAGAACUGCCAGUGAUAAGCUGGAGGAAGGUGGGGAUGACGUCAAGUCCUCAUGGCCCUUACGUGUUGGGCUACACACGUGCUACAAUGGUAUCUACAACAGGAAGCAAAACCGCGAGGUUAAGCAAAUCCUUAAAAGAUACCUCAGUUCGGAUUGCACUCUGCAACUCGAGUGCAUGAAGCUGGAAUUACUAGUAAUCGUGGAUCAGCGUGCCACGGUGAGUGCGUUCCCGGGUCUUGUAGACACCGCCCGU